rnacentral:sRNA from 1 species
GGGCCCCAUUCAAAGGCCAGCCAAGGAGUGCAGGAUGACGUCUUCCUCUUCCUCACUGGCCGCAUAGGCGUGCUUCUACCAUGGAGUCUCGUGUUUCUCAAAAAGAGGUCCUGGGCCAGCAGGACUAGAAGCAUCGGGACCCACAUGACCCUUUAGCCUCCUGGAGGGUGUUCCUCUGUCCCACCCCAUCGUGAGUUGGCCCACCCUAGAUGCAGCUGUCUCUCAGAAGAGGCCAGCGAGAGCGAGAGUUCUUCAAGGAUGCAGCGAGGUGUCCAUCAGCCAGUCAAGGAGACAUGUCUCAGAAGAAACCAACUCUGUUGAUGCCUUGUUCUUGAAGGAUGAGAACUGAAGUUCUC